rnacentral:tRNA from 2 species
AAAUAAGUAAGCUAAAAAAGCUAUUGGGUUCAUACCCCACUUAUAAAGGUUCCCUCCUUUCUUAUUUA